rnacentral:rRNA from 1 species
CAGGAUGAACGCUAGCUACAGGCUUAACACAUGCAAGUCGAGGGGGCAGCAUGUGGUUGCUUGCAACCAAUGAUGGCGACCGGCGCACGGGUGAGUAACGCGUAUCCAACCUCCCCUUAGUAGAGGAUAGCCCGGCGAAAGUCGGAUUAAUACUCUAUGUUCUUCAAUGCGGGCAUCUAAGUUGAAGCAAAGAUUUAUCGCUAAGGGAUGGGGAUGCGUCUGAUUAGGUUGCAGGCGGGGUAACGGCCCACCUGGCCUACGAUCAGUAGGGGUUCUGAGAGGAAGGUCCCCCACACUGGUACUGAGACACGGACCAGACUCCUACGGGAGGCAGCAGUGAGGAAUAUUGGUCAAUGGGCGCGAGCCUGAACCAGCCAAGUAGCGUGCAAGGACGACUGCCCUAUGGGUUAGUAAACUGCUUUUAUCAGGGAAUAAAGUGAGGCACGCGUGCCUUUUUGUAUGUACCUGAUGAAUAAGGACCGGCUAAUUCCGUGCCAGCCGCCGC